rnacentral:rRNA from 1 species
CUUGGUCAUUUAGAGGAGUAAAAGUCGUAACAAGGUUUCCGUAGGUGAACCUGCGGAAGGAUCAUUAUCGAAAUUAUUGGUGAGGGUUGUAGCUGGCCUUUCGAGGCAUGUGCACGCUCGAGCCCUUAAUCCACUUUACACCUGUGCACUUAAUGUAGGUCGCCCUUAAAAAAGGUGACCUAUGUCUUAUCAUCAACCCAUCGUAUGUCUCAUAGAAUGUAAUCGAUAUCCUCGCCCUAAAAAAGCGUUGAUAAACUUAUACAACUUUCAACAACGGAUCUCUUGGCUCUCGCAUCGAUGAAGAACGCAGCGAAAUGCGAUAAGUAAUGUGAAUUGCAGAUUUUCAGUGAAUCAUCGAAUCUUUGAACGCACCUUGCGCUCCUUGGUAUUCCGAGGAGCAUGCCUGUUUGAGUGUCAUUAAAUUCUCAACUCCAAGGGUUUCACGACCUUUCGGAGAUUGGACUUGGAGAUGCUGGCCGCAUAUUGGUCGGCUCCUCUCAAAUGCAUCAGCGGAAUUCAACCUUUGGCUUCCGGAUGUCAGUGUGAUAAUCAUGUUGCGCUGUCGUUUGAUCCCUCAGAGUCCGCUUAUAAUGGUCUUCGGACAAAAUCAUCAUCAAAUUUGACCUCAAAUCAGGUAGGACUACCCGCUGAACUUAAGCAUAUCAAUAAGCGGAGGAA